UUAAUAAAAUUUAUUAAUAAAAAGAAUUAUAAAAUAAAUUUAUUAAAAAUAAUUAUAAAAUUUUAAGUUUAUGUAUUUUUUAAAAAUAAAAUAAUAUUAAUAAUAAUUGAUUAGUAUUGAAAAAGAAAAUUGAAAUAAAAUGAAAUAUAUAUUAAAAAAAAAGAAAAUUUUAAUUAUUGUACCUUGUGUAUCAGGGUUUAUUAAAAAUAUAAUAAAUAAUUUAUUUUUUUCGAUUUUAAAAGAUUUAAUAAUUAAUAAUAGUUAUUGUUUAAUUAAUAUUAUAAAUUAAUUAUUGGAAAUGAAAUGUUACCGUUUUUAAAGAUAUCUAAUUUUUUAAGAAAUAAAUUUAAUUUAAAUAUAAUAAAUAUUAAAUAUUAAUUAAAUAUUAUUUAAUUUAAUUAUAUUAAUAUAAUAAGGGAUUAGCUUUAUUAUAAAUAAUUAAAAAUUUAAAAUUAAUUAAUAAUAAAUAUAAACUUAGAAUUAGUUAUUAUAAAUAAUUUUUUAAUAAAUUAUUAAUAAAAAUUUAAAGAUUUAUUAAAAUUUUAAAUUUUUUAUUAAAAUAUUAAUUAUAAUAUUAUAAAUAUUAAUAUUUAAUGAUAAAAUUAGUAUAUUAAAUUAAAUAUAAUUUUAUAGUUAAAUAUAAGAUUUUUAUAAUUAAUUCGGCAAAACUAUAUUCGCUUGUUUAUCAAAAACAUGUCUUUAAGAAUUAAAUUUAAAGUCUAACCUGCCCAUUGAAAAUUUAAAAGGCCGCAGUAUUUUGACUGUGCAAAGGUAGCAUAAUCAUUAGUUUUUUAAUUGAAAACUUGUAUGAAAGGUUGAACGAAAUAUAAACUGUAUCAUAAAAAUUAUAGUAAAAUUUAAAUUUUAAGUUAAAAUGCUUAAAUAUAAUUAAAAGACGAGAAGACCCUAUAGAGUUUUAUAUUGAUAAUUAUAUAAAUUUUUAUGAAAAGUUAAAUUUUUAUAAUUUUUAAUAUUAUGUUGGGGUGACAAUAAAAUUUAAAAACCUUUUAUUAUUAAAAAACAUAAAUUAAUGAAUAAUUGAUCCUAUUUUAUUGAUUAGAAAUUUAAAUUACCUUAGGGAUAACAGCGUAAUUUUUUUUAAAAGUUCAUAUUUAUAAAAAAGUUUGCGACCUCGAUGUUGGAUUAAAAUUAUUUUUAGGUGUAGAAGCUUAAAAUUUAAGUCUGUUCGACUUUUAAUUUUUUACAUGAUCUGAGUUCAAACCGGUGUAAGCCAGGUUGGUUUCUAUCUUUAAUAAAUAUACAUAUAUUUUAGUACGAAAGGACCAAAUAUAAAAAAUAUAAAUAUUUAAAUUAGAAUAAUAAUAAAUUAA
rnacentral:rRNA from 1 species